rnacentral:rRNA from 1 species
CGGAAGCCUGAUGCAGCAACGCCGCGUGAGGGAUGACGGCCUUCGGGUUGUAAACCUCUUUUAGCAGGGAAGAAGCGAAAGUGACGGUACCUGCAGAAAAAGCGCCGGCUAACUACGUGCCAGCAGCCGCGGUAAUACGUAGGGCGCAAGCGUUAUCCGGAAUUAUUGGGCGUAAAGAGCUCGUAGGCGGUUUGUCGCGUCUGCUGUGAAAUCCCGAGGCUCAACCUCGGGUCUGCAGUGGGUACGGGCAGACUAGAGUGCGGUAGGGGAGAUUGGAAUUCCUGGUGUAGCGGUGGAAUGCGCAGAUAUCAGGAGGAACACCGAUGGCGAAGGCAGAUCUCUGGGCCGUAACUGACGCUGAGGAGCGAAAGGGUGGGGAGCAAACAGGCUUAGAUACCCUGGUAGUCCACCCCGUAAACGUUGGGAACUAGUUGUGGGGACCAUUCCACGGUUUCCGUGACGCAGCUAACGCAUUAAGUUCCCCGCCUGGGGAGUACGGCCGCAAGGCUAAAACUCAAAGGAAUUGACGGGGACCCGCACAAGCGGCGGAGCAUGCGGAUUAAUUCGAUGCAACGCGAAGAACCUUACCAAGGCUUGACAUAUACGAGAACGGGCCAGAAAUGGUCAACUCUUUGGACACUCGUAAACAGGUGGUGCAUGGUUGUCGUCAGCUCGUGUCGUGAGAUGUUGGGUUAAGUCCCGCAACGAGCGCAACCCUCGUUCUAUGUUGCCAGCACGUAAUGGUGGGAACUCAUGGGAUACUGCCGGGGUCAACUCGGAGGAAGGUGGGGAUGACGUCAAAUCAUCAUGCCCCUUAUGUCUUGGGCUUCACGCAUGCUACAAUGGCCGGUACAAAGGGCUGCAAUACCGUGAGGUGGAGCGAAUCCCAAAAAGCCGGUCCCAGUUCGGAUUGAGGUCUGCAACUCGACCUCAUGAAGUCGGAGUCGCUAGUAAUCGCAGAUCAGCAACGCUGC